AUCCCCUGGCAACGGGCAAGGAAACGCCAUGCUGGUGGUGUUGUUCUGGUAUCAGUCAGGGGCAGAGCAGAUGGUGGUUCUUUGUUCAUCCUAGAUUGAUGCCUGGCUUGGUAGCCAAAGUUGUUCUGUGGAUAGAACACAUAA